AUUGAACGCUGGCGGCAUGCCUUACACAUGCAAGUCGAACGGCAGCACGGGUGCUUCCACCUGGUGGCGAGUGGCGAACGGGUGAGUAAUACAUCGGAACAUGUCCUGUAGUGGGGGAUAGCCCGGCGAAAGCCGGAUUAAUACCGCAUACGAUCCACGGAUGAAAGCGGGGGACCUUCGGGCCUCGCGCUAUAGGGUUGGCCGAUGGCUGAUUAGCUAGUUGGUGGGGUAAAGGCCUACCAAGGCGACGAUCAGUAGCUGGUCUGAGAGGACGACCAGCCACACUGGGACUGAGACACGGCCCAGACUCCUACGGGAGGCAGCAGUGGGGAAUUUUGGACAAUGGGCGAAAGCCUGAUCCAGCAAUGCCGCGUGUGUGAAGAAGGCCUUCGGGUUGUAAAGCACUUUUGUCCGGAAAGAAAUCCUUGACUCUAAUACAGUCGGGGGAUGACGGUACCGGAAGAAUAAGCACCGGCUAACUACGUG
rnacentral:rRNA from 1 species